rnacentral:tRNA from 1 species
GGACGGUUAGCUCAAUUGGUUAGAGCGUCCCGGUCACAUCGGGAAGGUUGUAGGUCCGAGUCCUAUACCGUCCA